rnacentral:misc_RNA from 1 species
UCCGAGUUGUCCCCGGCAGUCCUCUUAGAGUCCCCGGCAUUACCCGCUGGCAACUAAGAGCAGGGGUUGCGCUCGUUGCGGCACUUAAGCCAACACCUCACGGCACGAGCUGACGACAGCCAUGCAGCACCUGUGCUAGCCCCUUACGGACACGGGCUUUCACCCGCUUUAACUAGCAUGUCAAACCCAGGUAAGGUGGGGAUGACGUCAAGGUACGGAC